rnacentral:rRNA from 1 species
UACGUAGGGUGCAAGCGUUAAUCGGAAUUACUGGGCGUAAAGAGCGCGCAGGCGGUCGUUCAAGUCGCGUGUGAAAGCCCCCGGCUCAACUGGGGAGGGUCACGCGAUACUGAUCGACUCGAAGGCAGGAGAGGGUAGUGGAAUUCCCGGUGUAGUGGUGAAAUGCGUAGAUAUCGGGAGGAACACCGGUGGCGAAGGCGGUUCUCUGGGCCUUACCUGACGCUGAGGAGCGAAGCGUGGGGAGCGAACAGG